AGACUCCAUCUUGUACAAACAGACUCCAUCUUGUACAAACAGACUCCCAUCUUGUACAAACAGACUCCAUCUGUACAAACAGACUCAUCGUGUACAAACAGACUCCAUCGUGUACAAAGACUCCAUCGUGUACAAACAGACAUCACGUGUAACAAACAGACUCCAUCGUGUACAAAGACUCCCAUCCUGUACAACGUCCUCCUGUACAAAGACUCCAUCCUGUACAAACAGACCCAUCAUGUACAAAACAGACUCCAUCAUGUAUAAACAGAUUCCAUCAUGUACAAACAGAUUCCAUCAUGUACAAACAGAUCCAUCAUGUACAAACAGACUCCAUGUACCAGCAGACUCCAUCAUGUAAAAACAGACCCAUCAUGUACAAACAGACUCCUCCAUCCGUACAAAAAGACUAUCGUGUACAACAGACUCCAUCUUAAAAACAGACCUCCAUCAUGUACAAACAGACUCUCAAUGUACAAACAACUCCAUCGUGUACAAAGACUCCACGUGUACAAAGACUCCAUCGGUACAAGCAACUCCAUCGUGUACAAACAGACUCCAUCCUGUACAAACAGACUCCAUCCUGUCAAAACGACCCAUCCUGUACAAACAGACCCAUCCUGUACAAACAGACUCCAUCCUGUACAAACAACUCCAUCAUGUAAAACAGACCCAUCAUGUACAACAGACUCCAUCAUGUACAAACAGACUCCAUCAUGUACAAACAGACUCCCAUCAGUACAAACAGAUCCAUCAUGUACAAACAGACUCCAUCUUGUACAAACAGACUCCAUCUGAUACAAACAGACUCCAUCAUGUACAAAAGACUCCAUCAGUACAAAAGACUCCAUCAGUACAAACGAACUCCAUUCAUGUACAAACAGACUAACUCAUGUACCAGCAGACUCCAUCAUAUGUACAAACAACUCCAUGUACCAGCAGACUCCAUCAUGUACAAACAGACUCCAUCAUGUACAAACAGACUCCAUCCUGUACAAAGACUCCAUCUUGUACAAAGACUCCAUCGUGUACAAAGACUCCAUCCUGUACAAACAGACUCCAUCAUGUACAAACAGACUCCAUCUUGUACAAACAGACUCCAUCUUGUACAAACAGACUCCAUCUUGUACAAACAGACUCCAUCAUGUACAAACAGACUCCAUCUUGUACAAACAGACCCAGAUUUAGAGAAUGGCCAGUAGAAUUCAACAUAAACAUGAGCAUGUAUUAAAACCCAGCCAAAUCACAUGGUAAUGAAGUAGUCCGUAGGAGGUCAAACGUUCAAGUAACCAUCCUGUCACUCAUCUGGGUGUCAUUAGGUGUUCUGGGAACAGUCUCUCAAUCCCUCCCUGAAUCACAAUAUCAUCAUUAGCGUUGUGCAAAUGGCUGUCUAGAGCCACGGUAACAAAUGACAGGGACACCCAGACUGACAGGUGGCAUUACGUGUUAUUGUGAUAAUUUAUCUUGCCUACAUUAACCCAAACAAGUGACAAAUUGUCUCAUUAUUCACAAAUGUGUUUAUGUGACAGGAAAGACACAAAGUACAGAGGACGUGAUGGGUAAGAGUGUGUGUUUUUGUAUGUGUGCAUAUAUGUACGUGUGCUCGCGCAUAAGUGUGUCAUGUGACUACAUAAUAGUCAAUUCAUCUGUGCUGUCACGAACCGGCUCGUAGCCCUUAACAAAAUGGGAGACAACACAGAGAUCAAGGAAUAACAAAAAUAUAUUUAUUAACCAAAGUAAACUGUAUACAAUUAACAAUGAUGUGUGUAGUAAGCAGUGUAAGUGGUUGUGUGCAUAGAUGGUGGUAAUGAGGGGUGUUGAGGUGCCAAAAUAAACACGCAACAAAAUGUCACAAACAAAAAUACAGGUUUGUCUGCAUAGAGAGAGUCUCCUCAAUGAAUGAGGGAAAGAUGUAUUUAUCCCUGGGACACACCCGAGCCUCCCUCCCUCCCGGCUCCACCUACCACCAUACUAUUAAGGAAAACAGGAGCCAAUAGAAAGAAUUUGGCAGACAGAGGGGGAGGGUCGUCCCAGUGCAGACAGACAGGACAGUCAGUCCAUUUGUGCAGACAGACAGGCACGUGUCAUCACCAGAUUAUGUAAUUAUCCAGAUCACUGUUUUUAUUCUCUCUGUCACAGUCAGGGUCAAUUCCAUUUAAAUUCCAGUCAAUUCAGGAAGUACACUGACAUUCCAAUUCAUUUGAAUGAAUUAAUACAUCCCUCAUUACCUUGAACAUGCUCUCUCUCCUCAAGAGCCCCUCCUUCCGACCAAGGACCCAACCGACGCGCCGCCCCCCCCCUAACCGCCAUCCAGCCCACAACCCCUAAGCACCCCCCCCCCCCGCCCAAACAUACC
rnacentral:lncRNA from 1 species